ensembl:lncRNA
UUUUUUUUCUUUUUUUUUUUUUUUGUCCUAGACACAUAUAGUUGAUUCCUGUUAAGUGAAAUGCAAGUGUAAUUUGUCAUCUCCAUGCUCUAAAACACUACAACAAGAAAGGAGACAAAAGAAAGAAAAUCAUAAUAAAAUCUUAUCUUCAGGAAUCCUUAAGAGAAUAUGUCAUUCUGAAAUGUUGAAGAUUUGCUCACUUAAAUCUCCUUAUAAAAAUCUUUCUAAAUUGCAUCUCUUAUUUCACUACAUUCUUAAACAAAGUACUCUAUAACUUAAUCUGUUCUUAGAUGAUAUAUGAUUAAUGUUAUUUUAAAAUAGAAGUCCACUCUAGUGUACAGCAAUGGUAGCUGCAUGAUCUACUGUGGUGGAUAAGACUCAGUAUUGCUGAGCUUUGUGAGCUGUUUUGUUUUGUUUUAUGGAAACUCUCCUUUCUAUUGUUAAAAGUCCAUUUUUUUUACUUCCGUCAUAAUAUCUGCCUGUCACAACAACUCUUCUCCUUCCAAAUGCUGCUUUUUAUAUGCUUUAGAUUGAAAAGGAAGGGCGAACAGAAAUUUUCAUACUUCUAGGACUUGUUUGAGAGUAUCCCAAUUUUGAGAGAGGGCUCCAGGAACUUUUCUAUGUAAGAGAUUAUCUACAAAUGAACUGCAUAAGCUUUAGUAUUUUCAUCUUGUUCUUCCCAUCUUGGCUGUGCAGAGCUCUCUUUAUUUCCUGACUUCUAGCUAUAUUCCAAGUGUCAAAAAAGUAAAAUGAAAAGAACAUCUUGGAAGAGCAUAAUGAUAGUAGUAAGGAUGAAAGCUAUUUUUUGGAGAAUUGGAAGAGGCAGGCUGACAAAUCAUGUUAAAAGGUUUGGUUGAAAAGAUCAAUUCUCUCUCAGGUAAUGCAAUUUCCAGAUUAGUGAUUUUUUAAAUAGAUAGCAGAAUCUGGAAGUAUGACUUAAUGAAAAAGAGUACUGGACUUGAGGCAGAGUACUUGAUUCAAACUAAAGUCCUGUCAUAUAUUAACUGUAUGACCUUGAAUAAAUGAUUGAUUGAUCUACACUAAUUUUUAGUUUCUCAACUAUCAAAUAGAAAUAGGAUUAUUUGCUCCGCUUGUAUAACAGUGUUGCUGUCAAGAUCCAAAAAAGCAAUAUAUUUUAGAAGUGGCUUAUAAAAGUAUUAGAAGUGAAUAUUGUCUAAAUACCACUGUUCAUGGACAAAGUAUAUUUUUUCAAUAAAAAUUGUACAGAUUAAACGUAUGCAACAUGAUGUUUAUAUAUAUAUAUACAUAUAACAGUGAAAUAAUUACUACAGUCAAGCAAAUUAAUAUACCUAUCUCACAUAGUUACUUUUGUGUGUCUCCUUGAAAGCACCUGAAGUCUAAUCUCUUACCAAAAUUUCAAUAUGCAACACAGUAUUACUUACAGUCAUCAUGCUGUAAAUUAGAACUCUAGACAUAUUCAUACUACAGAACCAUAACUAUGUAUCCAUUGACCUACAUCUCCCCAUUUGUCCCACCUCUCCAGCCCUGGUAACCACUGUUCUACCUCUGUUUCUUUGUAUUUCACUUUUUAGUAUAUCCCAUGUAAGUGUGAUCAUGCAAUACUUUUCUAUCUAGCUUAUUUCACUUAGCAGAAUGUCCUCCAGGUUUAUCCAUGUGGUCUCAAAUGGGCAUCCCCAUUUUUAAGGCUGAAUAAUAUUCCAUUAUAUAUAUAUACAUCACAAUUUCUCCAUCCACCCAUCCUUCCAUUGACAGACACUCAG